rnacentral:rRNA from 1 species
AUUGAACGCUGGCGGCAUGCCUUACACAUGCAAGUCGAACGGCAGCGCGGGGCAACCUGGCGGCGAGUGGCGAACGGGUGAGUAAUAUAUCGGAACGUGCCCUGGAGUGGGGGAUAACGUAGCGAAAGUUACGCUAAUACCGCAUACGAUCCAAGGAUGAAAGCAGGGGACCUUCGGGCCUUGUGCUCCUGGAGCGGCCGAUAUCUGAUUAGCUAGUUGGUGGGGUAAAAGCCUACCAAGGCGACGAUCAGUAGCUGGUCUGAGAGGACGACCAGCCACACUGGAACUGAGACACGGUCCAGACUCCUACGGGAGGCAGCAGUGGGGAAUUUUGGACAAUGGGGGGCAACCCUGAUCCAGCAAUGCCGCGUGUGUGAAGAAGGCCUUCGGUGUAAAGCACUUUGUCAGGAACGAAACGGUUAGAGGUUAAGUAACCCUUGGUCUAAUGACGGUACCUGAAGAAUAAGACACCGGCUAACUACGUGCCAGCAGCCG